AUAUUGGGCAAUGGAGGCAACUCUGACCCAGCAACGCCGCGUGAAUGAUGAAGGUCUUCGGAUUGUAAAGUUCUUUUCUAAGGGAAGAAGAAAGUGACGGUACCUUAGGAAUAAGCCACGGCUAACUACGUGCCAGCAGCCGCGGUAAUACGUAGGUGGCAAGCGUUAUCCGGAUUUACUGGGUGUAAAGGGCGUGUAGGCGGGGACGCAAGUCAGAUGUGAAAACCACGGGCUCAACCUGUGGCCUGCAUUUGAAACUGUGUUUCUUGAGUACUGGAGAGGCAGACGGAAUUCCUAGUGUAGCGGUGAAAUGCGUAGAUAUUAGGAGGAACACCAGUGGCGAAGGCGGUCUGCUGGACAGCAACUGACGCUGAGGCGCGAAAGCGUGGGGAGCAAACAG
rnacentral:rRNA from 1 species